AACGAACGCUGGCGGCAUGCCUAACACAUGCAAGUCGAACGAGACCUUCGGGUCUAGUGUCGCACGGGUUCGUAACGCGUGGGAACCUGCCCUUAGGUUCGGAAUAACUCCCCGAAAGGGGUGCUAAUACCGGAUAAUGUCUUCGGACCAAAGAUUUAUCGCCUUUGGAUGGGCCCGCGUUGGAUUAGCUAGUUGGUAGGGUAAAAGCCUACCAAGGCGACGAUCCAUAGCUGGUCUGAGAGGAUGAUCAGCCACACUGGGACUGAGACACGGCCCAGACUCCUACGGGAGGAAGCAGUGGGGAAUAUUGGAAAAUGGGCGAAAGCCUGAGCCAGCAAUGCCGCGUGAGUGAUGAAGGCCUUAGGGUUGUAAAGCUCUUUUACCCGGGAUGAUAAUGACAGUACCGGGAGAAUAAGCGCCGGCUAACUCCGUG
rnacentral:rRNA from 1 species